ensembl:lncRNA
UGCUUCUCCCACUGUGCUAGCAGCGGCACUCCAUCUGUGGGAGGAAAGAGCCCGCUUGUCCCCAGCCAUGGCAAUGGGAAGCCAAGACACCAGUGAGCUGGAGGAGACACUCCUUGGGGAGGGAAGGCUACCACCCGCCCUCCAUCUGAACCUCAGUGAACAACGGCAAUUGCCUAAAACGACAGCAAGUUUUGCUGCUCUUUUCUGGAAAUACAAAGUUAGGCUUUUGAAUGAAAUUACAGAAACGCUUCUGAAGCGGAGAAUAAAGAGAAAUAGUUGCCCAGCUCUAACCCUGAGACCUGCACCAGUUGUGCCCUGUUGGCUGUAUCUCUGGAAAGCAAGCUUCUGAGGAGCAACCAGCUUGUCUUUCAUCAAGGACUUAAUAACCAGAUGAAGGUUCUCUUUUCAUCAGUUCAUAAGUGAUGCUCCAUUUGAUUGAAGAAGAUCAAAAAUGACGAUCAGAAAAUAACAAGGAAGUUUUAAAGGUGGCCUUUAUACAACACUUCAACUGUCUCAUUCCUGUUAUUUCAGAAGUAUCACUGGGUUUCUUCUCAGGUUUGGAAAAAAAAUGUAUAAAAUUCUCAAGAAUUGACAGUACUUGCCUUUUUUUUUUUAAUUUUAGAAGCUUAUAUGUUAAUGGUGGUCAACAUGCCUCUUCCGCACUGUGCCGUGGUGUUAAGUGAAAGCAACAGCAGCAAAACUAUUAG